rnacentral:rRNA from 1 species
GGGUUGUGAGGUUAAGCGACUAAGCGUACACGGUGGAUGCCCUGGCAGUCAGAGGCGAUGAAGGGCGUGCUAAUCUGCGAUAAGCGCCGGUAAGGUGAUAUGAACCGUUAUAACCGGCGAUACCCGAAUGGGGAAACCCAGUGUGAUUCGUCACACUAUCAUUAACUGAAUCCAUAGGUUAAUGAGGCGAACCGGGGGAACUGAAACAUCUAAGUACCCCGAGGAAAAGAAAUCAACCGAGAUUCCCCCAGUAGCGGCGAGCGAACGGGGAGGAGCCCAGAGCCUGAAUCAGCAUGUGUGUUAGUGGAAGCGUCUGGAAAGGCGCGCGAUACAGGGUGACAGCCCCGUACACAAAAGCGUAUGUGCUGUGAGCUCGAUGAGUAGGGCGGGACACGUGGUAUCCUGUCUGAAUAUGGGGGGACCAUCCUCCAAGGCUAAAUACUCCUGACUGACCGAUAGUGAACCAGUACCGUGAGGGAAAGGCGAAAAGAACCCCGGCGAGGGGAGUGAAAAAGAACCUGAAACCGUGUACGUACAAGCAGUGGGAGCACCCUUUGGGGUGUGACUGCGUACCUUUUGUAUAAUGGGUCAGCGACUUAUAUUCUGUAGCAAGGUUAACCGAAUAGGGGAGCCGGAGGGAAACCGAGUCUUAAUUGGGCGUUAAGUUGCAGGGUAUAGACCCGAAACCCGGUGAUCUAGCCAUGGGCAGGUUGAAGGUUGGGUAACACUAACUGGAGGACCGAACCGACUAAUGUUGAAAAAUUAGCGGAUGACCUGUGGCUGGGGGUGAAAGGCCAAUCAAACCGGGAGAUAGCUGGUUCUCCCCGAAAGCUAUUUAGGUAGCGCCUCGUGAAUUCAUCUCCGGGGGUAGAGCACUGUUUCGGCUAGGGGGUCAUCCCGACUUACCAACCCGAUGCAAACUGCGAAUACCGGAGAAUGUUAUCACGGGAGACACACGGCGGGUGCUAACGUCCGUCGUGAAGAGGGAAACAACCCAGACCGCCAGCUAAGGUCCCAAAGUCAUGGUUAAGUGGGAAACGAUGUGGGAAGGCCCAGACAGCCAGGAUGUUGGCUUAGAAGCAGCCAUCAUUUAAAGAAAGCGUAAUAGCUCACUGGUCGAGUCGGCCUGCGCGGAAGAUGUAACGGGGCUAAACCAUGCACCGAAGCUGCGGCAGCGACACUCAG